GGCGGCGGCGCGGGUAGGAAAGAAUUAGAGUUUCUUUGGCGAUAAGCCACUGGCAUAUGAUACCAUGUAGAGAGUUUUGGGAGAAGUAAUUUUCUCGUAUUGGUUACAAAAGUAUAUAUAGAGUACAGAGAUGUAUCAAAUCCUACCAACCAUAGGACUGUACAAUAAUGAAGGAAAUCAAAUCCUACCAACUAUAGGACUGUACAAUAAUGAGAGAAUAUUCUACCAAUAAUAAAAAGAUACACCAAAUCCUACCAACUAUAGGACUGUACAAUAAUGAAAGAAUAUUCUAACAAUAAUAAAAAGAUACACGCAAUAUAUUCUAAUACCAACUUCUGAUCUUACUUGCCCCUUCCUUGUACUGCGAUCAAUUUAUUACUGCAAUUGCUAUUUGUUGGCUAUAUCUUUUAAAAACAAUAUUGGCUGAAGCAUAUAUGAGCUAAUUCUAUC
rnacentral:lncRNA from 1 species